UCCUACGGGGCGCAGCAGUGAGGAAUAUUGGUCAAUGGGCGAGAGCCUGAACCAGCCAAGUCGCGUGAGGGAAGACGGUCCUAUGGAUUGUAAACCUCUUUUGUCGGGGAGCAAAAAGACUACGUGUAGUCCCAAGCGAGAGUACCCGAAGAAAAAGCAUCGGCUAACUCCGUGCCAGCAGCCGCGGUAAUACGGAGGAUGCGAGCGUUAUCCGGAUUUAUUGGGUUUAAAGGGUGCGUAGGCUGAAUGUCAAGUCAGCGGUAAAAAUUCCGGGCUCAACUCCGUCGAGCCGUUGAAACUGCCGU
rnacentral:rRNA from 1 species